GGCUUUAUAGUCAACAAUGACGUUAGACUGCAAUUCUAAAGGAGUAAUAAAAUUACUAAGGCUU
rnacentral:tRNA from 1 species